ACGACGGGCAUUGGGCGCCAUUUUGAAAAGGGAAAAAAAAUCCGCCGGUGGCGGCGGCGGCGGCGGCGGCGGCAGCCGGGCUGAGGUGCUUGGGCGGCAGCUGCGCGGGGGCCGCCUCCUACGUCCGCCGCCGCCUCGGCGCCCGGCCACCCCCGGCUGCGCGCCGGCCGACCGGCCAUGGCAGGAGCCGGAGGCGGCGGCUGCCCUGCGGGCGGCAACGACUUGCAGUGGUGUUUCUCGCAGGUCAAGGGGGCUGUGGACGAGGACGUGGCGGAAGCUGAUGUCAUCUCAACUGUGGAAUUUAGUCACUCUGGAGAUCUUCUUGCAACAGGAGACAAGGGCGGCAGAGUGGUUAUUUUUCAGCGUGAACAAGAGAAUAAAAGCCGCCCUCAUUCCAGGGGGGAAUACAACGUUUACAGUACCUUUCAAAGUCACGAACCAGAGUUUGACUAUUUGAAGAGUCUAGAAAUUGAAGAAAAAAUCAAUAAAAUUAGGUGGUUACCACGACAGAGUGCUGCUCGUUUCCUGCUCUCGACAAACGAUAAAACUAUUAAAUUAUGGAAAAUAAGUGAACGGGAUAAAAGAGCAGAAGGCUGUAACUUACAAGAUGAAGACGGGCGACUUCGAGAUCCGUCUAGCGUCACGGCACUGCGGGUCCCAAUAUUGAAGCCCAUGGACCUUAUGGUAGAAGCAAAUCCACGACGAAUUUUUGCAAAUGCUCACACAUAUCAUAUAAAUUCCAUUUCAGUAAAUAGUGAUCAUGAAACAUAUCUUUCUGCAGAUGACCUGAGAAUUAAUCUAUGGCAUUUAGAAAUCACAGAUAGAAGUUUUAACAUCGUGGACAUCAAGCCGGCCAACAUGGAAGAGCUGACGGAGGUGAUCACGGCGGCCGAGUUCCACCCGCACCAGUGUAACGUGCUCGUCUACAGCAGCAGCAAGGGGACCAUCAGGCUGUGCGACAUGCGCUCCUCCGCCCUGUGCGACCGACACUCCAAGUUUUUUGAAGAGCCGGAAGAUCCCAGCAGUAGGUCCUUCUUCUCAGAAAUAAUCUCUUCUGUGUCCGACGUGAAAUUCAGCCACAGCGGUCGGUACAUGAUGACCCGAGACUACCUGUCGGUGAAGGUGUGGGACCUCAACAUGGAGAGCCGGCCUGUCGAGACCCACCAGGUCCACGAGUACCUUCGAAGCAAGCUGUGUUCCCUGUACGAAAAUGACUGCAUCUUUGACAAGUUUGAGUGCUGCUGGAACGGCUGCGACAGUGCAAUCAUGACUGGGUCCUACAACAACUUCUUCAGAAUGUUCGAUAGGACUACAUGGAGGGAUGUUACGCUGGAAGCUUCCAGGGAGAACAGCAAGCCUCGCGCCAGCUUGAAGCCUCGCAGAGUGUGUGCAGGUGGGAAGAGAAAGAAGGACGAGGUGAGCGUGGACAGCCUGGACUUCAGCAAGAAGAUUCUGCACACGGCCUGGCACCCAGCGGAGAACAUCAUUGCCGUGGCUGCCACCAAUAACCUGUACAUAUUCCAGGACAAGGCCAACUAAGGAGGCAGCGGGACCCGCGUCUCGUGCAGAAUCGCACCUGGUCGUUCGGUGCCAGAGGACAGGCGACAUCCUCUCCGUGAAGAGCAGGGACGCCCUCCUGCCUCCGGACAGACUGCACGGGCUGGCCGCGCGGGUGCCCGCGGGCUUCUGCUUCAGCAAGAGUGGUGGAACGUGUGCAGUACUUCAAACUCUGAACGUAUGUAUCCACAAACUUCCAUAACUUUUUUGUUUCUGUAGAAAUGGUACAUCUGACACACCAGGUAAGGUCUGGAAAAAGCCUUAACUGCAUCUGCCUCUGAGAAAGAAAAUCCCAAGGAGUAGUAACAGGAUCGCUGCUGAAAAAGUAACACGUGGCUUAAAGUAUGCCUCAAAUUCACUGCAAUUGAAAACUUACGUGCUUUUUAAACCUUUUAAAAAGUACUUUGGGAGAAGGGUAACAUACUUUUUUAAAACUGCUGGAAUUAUAUGCAUGCCGAAUUUCAUACUGCAUUUCAAGCCAGCAAAAAUUAAACAAUUUUAAUUAUUAUGUAAUGCCACCAGUACCUUGGUGGUUUACUUUAAAAGUAGGUUGAUAUCAGAAAUCAAGAUUUCCUAAGACAAAAAAAUACAGAGGCAACAACACUAAGUGAUUGGAGCUUGCGGCCGCGAAAUUUCACACAGGAGCCCGAGACCCAGUCCUCCAGGGGACGGGACAGCUGGGCUCACGUGCUGCUCUUGAAAUUAAGGUGUAUUUUGGUCACUGGUGAUAUGGAGAUGCAAGAACAAAUGUCUUGUCAACUCAUUCCCCUGAAUUCAUGUUAACAGGGUGCCACGUUAGCUCACGUUACAUUGGAAAUAGAGAAUCAACAAGUAUAUUUAUUUUCAUUUAAAGGUAAUUGUUUUACUGCGUAUUGGUUGACGCAGUUCACAAACCUGAGAUGUGGAACAGAGUUGUCUAAGUAUCAGUCAACCCUGGCCCUUAAGGUAAAGCAGUUCUAGUAAGAUGGGGUUGUAUUUACUUGUUCAGCUUUUUUGACUAAAAAGUUUAAUAAAUUUCAGAUGUUUAACCAGAUUUGUACUAUGUAACUGGACGACUUUUUUCCAUCUUUCCUUUAAGACAUAUUUCCUAUCAAACAGGAAACCAGCCUUCUGCCUCUCAGGCGGCCCCGGGCAGGAGGCGCGUGCGUGGUGGCUGCUGCCGGCCGGGCGGGGGUCCCUGUGUCCCUGGGCUCUUCUCCCCCGAGUCGGGCAGACGCCCCUCAGAGAUGCUGUUGAGAAACGUGUAACUUAAGAGUGUCCAGCAGUUUCUUCCGUGUCUUUUCCAUUAGACACUUCUGAUUCCAUUUAAGCCUUUUUCCCCUCCUGAUGAGGACCCGCAGAGCCCGUCCCGGGAAGGUUUCCCUCAGCUGCCCCGCGUCUGAGAGUGAGGGCUGGGGCCCACGAUCUCCUGCGACCCCCGUCAGCGCCCGGUGAGCAACUGAGAGGACUUGCUGGUCCCAUUUCCCUGCUCACCCUCCGGACGGUGACGCCCGCACCCGGAACCUCGGGGGUCAUGUGUUCAAGCCCUGGUCCGGGAAGAUCCCACAUGCCAUGGAGCAACUAAGCCCGUGCGCCACAGCUACUGAGCCUGCGUUCUAGAGCCCACAAGCCACAACUGCUGAGCCCAUGUGCCACAACUACUGAGCCUGCGCUCUAGAGCCCGUGAGCAGAGCUCCUGAGCCCGCACGCCUAGAGCCCGUGCUCUGCAACAAGAGAAGCCACUGCAAUGAGAAGCCUGCGCACCGCAACGAAGAGGAGCCCCGCUCGGCGCAACUAAAAGAAAGCCCAUGCACAGCUACGAGGACCCAACACAGCCAAAA